rnacentral:rRNA from 1 species
AUUGAACGCUGGCGGCAGGCCUAACACAUGCAAGUCGAGCGAGCGGCGGACGGGUGAGUAAUGUAUGGGGAUCGGCCCGCUAGAUGGGGAUAACUACUGGAAACGGUGGCUAAUACCGCAUAAUAUCGGAUGGACCCAUAUGGGAUUAGCUAGUAGGUGGGGUAAAGGCUUACCAAGGCUACGAUCCCUAGCUGGACUGAGAGGAUGAUCAGCCACACUGGAACUGAGACACGGUCCAGACUCCUACGGGAGGCAGCAGUGGGGAAUAUUGGACAAUGGGCGAAAGCCUGAUGCAGCCAUGCCGCGUGUAUGAAGAAGGCCUUAGGGUUGUAAAGUACUUUCAGCGGGGAGGCGUUACCCACAGAAGAAGCACCGGCUAACUCCGUGCCAGCAGCCGCGGUAAUAC